AUUGAACGCUGGCGGCAUGCCUUACACAUGCAAGUCGAACGGCAGCGGACCUUCGGGUGCCGGCGAGUGGCGAACGGGUGAGUAAUAUAUCGGAACGUACCUUUCAGUGGGGGAUAACGUAGCGAAAGUUACGCUAAUACCGCAUAUUCUGUGAGCAGGAAAGCAGGGGAUCGCAAGACCUUGCGCUGAUUGAGCGGCCGAUAUCAGAUUAGCUAGUUGGUGAGGUAAAGGCUCACCAAGGCGACGAUCUGUAGCGGGUCUGAGAGGAUGAUCCGCCACGCUGGAACUGAGACACGGUCCAGACUCCUACGGGAGGCAGCAGUGGGGAAUUUUGGACAAUGGGCGCAAGCCUGAUCCAGCCAUGCCGCGUGAGUGAAGAAGGCCUCGG
rnacentral:rRNA from 1 species